GAUGAACGCUGGCGGCGUGCCUAAUACAUGCAAGUCGAGCGAACGGACGAGAAGCUUGCUUCUCUGAUGUUAGCGGCGGACGGGUGAGUAACACGUGGAUAACCUACCUAUAAGACUGGGAUAACUUCGGGAAACCGGAGCUAAUACCGGAUAAUAUUUUGAACCGCAUGGUUCAAAAGUGAAAGACGGUCUUGCUGUCACUUAUAGAUGGAUCCGCGCUGCAUUAGCUAGUUGGUAAGGUAACGGCUUACCAAGGCAACGAUGCAUAGCCGACCUGAGAGGGUGAUCGGCCACACGGGAACUGAGACACGUUCCAGACUCCUACGGGAGGCAGCAGUAGGGAAUCUUCCGCAAUGGGCGAAAGCCUGACGGAGCAACGCCGCGUGAGUGAUGAAGGUCUUCGGAUCGUAAAACUCUGUUAUUAGGGAAGAACAAAUGUGUAAGUAACUGUGCACAUCUUGACGGUACCUAAUCAGAAAGCCACGGCUAACUACGUG
rnacentral:rRNA from 1 species